UGAGGAAUAUUGGACAAUGGAGGGAACUCUGACCCAGCCAUGCCGCGUGCAGGAUGAAGGCGUUAUGCGUUGUAAACUGCUUUUUAUAUAGGAAGAAAUAGUCCUUGCGAGGAAAGUUGACGGUACUAUAUGAAUAAGCACCGGCUAACUCCGUGCCAGCAGCCGCGGUAAUACGGAGGGUGCAAGCGUUGUCCGGAUUUAUUGGGUUUAAAGGGUGCGUAGGCGGUUUAUUAAGUCAGUGGUGAAAGACGGUCGCUCAACGAUUGCAGUGCCAUUGAUACUGGUAGACUUGAGUAUGAUUGAGGUAGCUGGAAUGGAUAGUGUAGCGGUGAAAUGCAUAGAUAUUAUCCAGAACACCAAUUGCGUAGGCAAGUUACUAAGUCAUAACUGACGCUGAGGCACGAAAAGUGUGGGUAUCAAACAGGAUUAGAUACCCAGGUAGUCCCUGAGCGGGCUGGCAAGGCGCAU
rnacentral:rRNA from 1 species